CAAGUUUGUACCAGGUACAAUGCAGAGGACUUGGGGGGUGGGGAAGGAAGAAGCAAGCAAGGCUGGGGGUGGGUGGAUAGAGAGGAGAAAAGGAGAUCAAAAGGUCUAUAAAUAUCUGUCAAACUUUAAAAUGCAAAUCCCUUGUCUGUGACCCUGUUGGGACCAAAUCUUCCAUUAUCACCUUUCCAGGAAGAGCUUGAGAGACAAAAAGCUUAAGCAGAGUCUUUCCCUUCAUGGUGUGUUUUGGUUUGGUUUGGCAUGAUUUGGGGCCAAGCCUGGAUGUCAUUCGACUCAGACCUGAAAGCAUAAGCAUGGUUUUCUUUGUGGACAGGCUGUGAGUUCCUCAAGGAAACUGUCUAACUCUUAAUAUAUCCCCUGCAAUUUGCAUAGAGUAUCUGCCUGUUCAAUGAAUGAGAUGGAUGGAUGGAUGAACAGAUGGAAUUAAUUCUGAGCAUAGUAAGUCAGCUUCACCAGCUGGUGACCUAGUCCUCAGGCAUCUCCUUAUCUUCACUUCACUGGGAGCUGUGGUUGGAGGUUGGCGGUUGGCAGAGUCCCCUCGCAGGGACAGUCUUCAUGAAGGGCAGCUGUUGCCUUCUGAGAAACACUUGGAUAGCAUCUGCCAACGACCAGGGCUCUGUGCAGCCCGCACACGGGGAAUACGUGGUACUACAGGGCAGCUUUGUCCUCCCUGUUUCCCAGAGAAGUGGCUUCCUCAUAUGAGUCCCUGUUGAUGAUUGAUUUCUGGAGAAAGUAUGGAAUUCCAGGUGGAUCUUACAGAGGAGACCUUGAAGGGAUGUCGACCUGGUUGUACCGAAGCCUUUGACACCUCCCAUAGAACUAUCCCAGCUGUGAAGUCAUGGGGCCUUCACAGGGCCUGGACGAGAGACGACUGUGUUUGGACAACCCUGAGAAAUAAGCCUUCUGGCAUCUGGUGUCCACAGAGUCAGCAUUCUCAAUUUAAUAAAAAUGUAAAUGAUUUAAGCAAUAAUAAUUACCUUGGAGCUGUUACUGCUACCAGGAUUGGUUUAAAUGAAAACAAGACAGAGCCAAAGGAUUUGUAGUCUACCUUUACAUGGAUGGUAAAUAAAUCACUCUUUCUCAUUUUCAGAGUCAAAGCACGACCCUUUCAGACUUCACUCACAGUGGAAAGGCGGGUAUCUGUUGAUUGGUAAAUGAAGGGAUUUAAGUUAUGAUGACGGGAACACUGUGGAAUUCAAUGAUUAGGUCUUUGAUCAGAGAAUUCUAAACAUACAGGCCCUUUUGCCAUUGGAGAGGUCAACAUUGUCCUUUUCAGGCCUUGCACAAAUUAAUGCUGAGGAAGUACCAUCCCUUAAUCCCCAUCAAAGAAGUUAUGCUUUGGUGCUUAGAAAAAGAAUUCUUCUAAACACAAAAGCAAAAUACCCAAAGUCAUUCUGCCCACAGAAGGGACAGCCUACUUUGCUGAUGACUCGCACCUCCAUUGCCAGACAGGCAAUUUUUUGAAUUUAUCUGGCCCAGAGCUAAAUAAGCUAUCUAUGCUGACAAUCAUCAGAAAAGGUUCCACAUUUUUGGACUAUCACUGGGGCUGAUUCUGUAGCAUCUCAGUUUAAAGGCAAUGUGGCAAGUCCUUGCAAGGGGCUAAUGCAAGCUGUUAGCUGAGCCCGAUAAAAGCUUUUCCUGGCCAAGAAGGUGAUAAACGUUGCCACGUUAAUCUGCAGAUGAAAGGAGGCUGACUUCAGUGGUAUUAUUUAAGCUGUUUUACCCUAAGUGCUAGCGGCCCAACAGGAACAGUCAGCAGGUGAUUUAGCCCCUCACCUUCAGAAAGAAAGGCAUAUCACCAUGGCAUCUUAACAUGACCAAAGGGGACUAGUCCCCAAGGAGCGACCCAACUGGAUUUGUUCUUUCUCCACAGAGAAUGGAAGCACUAAGACCCUGAUUUCAUCACCAGGCAAUCAGCACUCAUUCACUGAAAGCUUUCUGAGCCAGUCCCUCUGCUAGGUGCUACAGAUUCAGAAUACAAGACCCUCACAGUCAGAAGCCCGAAACAAGACUGCACAUCAGUCGACACAAGGCUGCCUAUAGGUAAUAUCUUAGAAGCCCAAAGGAAGAAGAGUUCCAUAAAUUCUCUAAAGCCCUCCUUAGAGAAGACUGUUUGCACUGAGUCUCGAUCAGUAAAUAAGAGGUGGCGACACAGAGAAUUAAACUCAGGGCAACAAAAUAUUGCAAUGAAUUAAAAAUUGUAAUCUAUUAAAAAUGAAUGAGUUAAAAAUUAUAUCUUAAUACCAUGUCAUACUAUUCUACAAUGAAAAGGAACAAGAUAGUAAUACAUAGAAAACAUAGAUAAGUCUUUAAAAAGUGCUAAGUAGAAAGUCAAAUACAAAGACUAUACUAUAUGGUCCAAUUACAGAAAUUCUAGAAAAGGCAAAACAUAGUGAGAAAAGCAUAUUGGUUGUUAUCUGGGAUCAAAGCUUAGGAGACUUACAAACUGCAAAGGCGCAUAAGGAAAAUUUAAGGUGAGGGAGCUUUUCCAUAUCUUGAUUGUGGUGGAAGUUAUACAACUGUAUAUAAUCACCAAAAUGCAUCAAACUUGACCCUUAAAAUGAGUGGAUUUUUUUCUAUAUAAUUAUACUUCAAUAAAGAAAAAAAGCUAGUGAAAAAGGAAUUCAGUCUUUAGGUAUAUUCCUGAGAACAUAAGUCAAG
rnacentral:lncRNA from 9 species